AGCCUAGAUGAUCAUUGUUGUUGUGUAAUAUCACAAAUCUGCAAACCUCGGUGUACACCGAAGGGUCACGGAAUUGUGAAUCUCAGAUUAAUCAGCACUGUGAUGUUGUUAAAUAUGAAAGUUUUCUGCAGGUUUCUGUCCCAUAUCAGCAUGGUGUUGAGGAUCAGCAGUCCCUGGGGAACGCGACCCCUCAUAAAACCUGGCAGAGUCAGUCAGGAUCAGUCCCCUUAUUGCUGAAUGCUGGUGAUAUCCCACAAGAAGUAUAUAAUUCUGUAAAUGGUUGAGUAAUUCUAACAAAACAUUCUCCUUUGUGACAUUCCUUGGGAUCACCGACUGAGUCAAUUUGGAAUUUCUGCCCCGUUCACCUUCAUCACCUCGUGCCUCACAGCCACUGGGUGAAAAACAGGUUCCAGUUCUUGCUGACUGGAGUCAGACAGGAGGGAAUCUGGCCAAGGAAAGUGGAAUUGGGAUCUGAGUCACACUGAAGCAACAAUGUACACAAAUGAAUGAGUGAAUGGACAACCAGAAACACAAGAGAUUUGACAGAUGCUGGAAAUCUUGAACAACACACACAAAAUUCUGGUGGAACACAGCAGGCCAGGCGGCAUCUAUAAGGAGAAGCACUGUCAACGUUUGGGGCCGAGACCCUUCGUCAGGACUAACUGAAAGGAGAGAUGUUCCCUGAGCUGCUCAGUGUUGGCAGUGCAGGAGGGACAAUAACAUCAGUCGGUGAGAUUUGCAGCUGAGGAUCUUUUACAUCCCGGGACCAGCAGGUGUUACAGACACAGCAAUGAAGAAUCCUUCUACAUCUGAGUGUGAUGAUAUUCCCUGGUCACCACCUGGGACUUGCAUGUCUGACAGUAGUGAAAACUGACAGGAAGCUACUGGCAUAGUGAAGGGAGCCAUGAACUUCACCAAGACCAAGAGAAAAUAUGUUUUUUGGAAUUGUCGAACCAUGUACAGCACUGGCAAGCUCACACAGAUAACCACAGUAAUGUGUCAUUACAGCCAACACACAAUGAGGUUAGUGAAAGUAGAUGCACAUGGUCUGGCAGACUAAAGGCAGCAACUGGUGAAAGAGUUUUAUAUUCAGGAAGGGAAGAUGUCAGCGUCUUGAUGGUGCAGCUGUCAUUUUGAAGAAAGUCAUUGAGAAGUGCCCGCUGGAGUGAAAACCAAUCAACAGUCGGCUGGUGAGAGUCAGGCUGAGAGUGAAGCGAGUGAACAUGACUGUGAUCCAGUGCUAUGCUCCAAGUAACAGUAGUGACAUUGAAGAAAAGGACAUCUACAGACAGCAGAGGUAGAGUUAACACCAUGCCAUGACAUAAUCAUCAUCAUGGGAGAUCUAAAUGGCAAAGUGGGAAAUAACAACUCGGACUUCACUCAGGUCAUGUGCAUGCAAGGGUGUGGACCAAUGAAUAACAACGGUGAAAGACGGGUGGAAUUCUGUGCCAUGAACAGUCUGGUCACAGGAGGGACCGUUUCCACACCAUGGAAUCCACACACUGACAUGUUGCUCACCCAGUAGAAGUGACAAGAUCUAGAUUAACCAUUUGAUGAUCAAUGGUACAUGGAGACAACCCUUGCCGGGUGUAAAGGUGAAGAGAGGAGCAGAUACAGGAAGUAAUCACCACCUUGCUGUAGCAGUGAUGAAACUCAAGUUGAGAAGCACUGGGACCAGAGCACAUGUACAAAGACGUUUUGAUGUUGAGAAGCUCAAGGACACCAGUGUGAGAUCUGCUGUCACCAUUAAACUUAAGAACAGAUUUCAGGCUUUGGCGAGGAUGUGUCAGUGAACAAGAUCAACACUAUGUGGAAACAGAUUGUGUCAGUGUUCAUGGAGAGCAGCAGGGCUUGUCUACAUUACAGAGCUGGAAAGAAAAACAAAGAAUGGAUACAGCAGGAAACAUGGACAGCCUUAGAGGAAAGAUGGAAAAUUAGGAAGAAAAUGUUCAAUGCAGAGUCAACACGAAUUAAGGUGAAACUUCCACUGGCAUUCACUGAAGCUAGCAAAAAAGUGAAGAGCGAAGGAUGGAUAAGAGGGUCUACAUGGAAGACCUUGCAGUGGUGGCCACAGCAGUGCCAGUUAACGUGUUCAGGAAAACAUAGACAAGAUUUCCUUUUUUAAAAUUUUUAUAUUGCCAUACCUUUUUUUGGUCUCGUCUUUAUGAUAUUUGUAUCAUGCAUGAUUGGGGAAGACUUAACUGUAUUAUACUUAUUGCUUGUGUAUCCCAUUGUAAUGCUCAUUGUAAUUUCGUAAUCCCAAAAAGAUUGGAAAAGAAAGAAAGAAGGUUUCAAAAUUAGUAUGCAGAAAGUUCCAAGUCAGAUCCAGUAGCCCCAUGAGAGGUAAGAACGGUCUGCUUUUGACAAGAGCACAAAGCACAAUGGACAGGGUGUUUCAGAGAUUUACUGAAUAGUCACAGAGGACCUCAACAUCAACACAGAUCCAGCCAAGAAAGAAGAGAUUGUUACUGUGAUUAAUACAUUAAGAAACAGUAAAGCUCCAGAACUGCAUCCUGCAUCCACUGUUUACUAUAAUCUGGGAACGAGGACAAGUGCCCAAGGACAAAGGGAGUUAGGAUCCCCAAGAAACGAGUACCAAGUGAUUGCAAGAACUGGUGUGGCAUCACACUUCUGUCUCACCAAAGUCAUUGUCCAAAGGAUUACAGAUGCUGUAGAUGUUUGCUUGAAGGAAUAAGUUGGAAUAGAGACUCUGUCAACCGGAUCUUCAUGCUGCAUAACAUCAUAGAGCAGUGCACAGAGUGGCAGAGACAACUGUACAUAAAUUUCAUGGACUUUGAAAAGGCUUUUGAUAGCAUCCAUGGGGAGAGCCACAUUGAAUAGAUUAAAAUCAUGCAAAAACAAAUAAUAUAUUUUAAAAAGUGAAGGAGUGUCCAAGGGUUUAUUGUCCAUUUAGGAAUCAGAUGGCAGAGGGGAAGAAGCUGUUUCUGAAUUGCUGGGUGUGUGUCUUCAGGCUUCUCUACCUCUUACCUGAUGGUAACAGUGAAAAAAGGGCAUGCUCUGGGUGCUGGAGGUCCUUAAUAAUGGAUGCUGCUUUUCUGAGGCACCACUCCUUGAAGAGGCCCUGGGUACCCAAGAGGCUCGUACCCAAGAUGAAGCCAACUAAAUUUGCAACCCUCUGCAGCUUCUUUCAGUAGCCCUCCCCUCCCCCCCAUACCAGACAGUGAUGCAACCUGUCAGAAUACUCUCCACUGUACAUCUAUAGUAAUAUAAGAAAUAUAUUUUCAGUAAUACAAGAAUUGUUUAAUGGUAUUAAACCAUUAAUACCAGAAAACUUCUGCAAACCAGAAGACUGAGUACAGGAUUAAUGGUCGGUUACUUAAGAGUGUGGAUGAACAAAGGGGCCUUGGGGUUCAAAUCCAUACAUCCCUCAAGGUCGCUGCACAGGUUGAUAGGGUAGUUAAGAAGGCCUAUGGGAUGCUAGGCUUCAUUAACAGGGGGAUUGAGUUCAAGAGUAGAGAGGUCAUGUUUCAACUCCACAAAUCUCUGGUGAGACCGCACUUAGAGUAUUGUGUUCAAUUCUGGUCACCUCAUUAUAGGAAGGAUGUGGAAGCUAUGGAGAGGGUGCAGAGGAGAUUUACCAGGAUGUUGCCUGGUUUGGAGAACAAGUCAUAUGAAGCAAGGUUAGCAGAACUGGGACUUUUCUCUUUGGAGCGUAGAAGAAUGAGACAGGACUUGAUAGCGGUCUACAAGAUUAUGAGAGGCAUAGAUAGGGUGGAUAGUCAGUACCUGUUUCCCAGGGCACCAAUAACAAACACCAGAGGGCAUAUGUACAAAAUUAAGGGAGGGAAGUUUAGGGGAGACAUCAGGGGUAAGUUUUUUUACACAGAGGGUUGUGAGUGCCUGGAAUGAUUUGCCAGGGAUGGUGGUGGAGGCUAAAACAUUAGGGGUAUGUAAGAGCCUCUUGGACAGACACAUGGAUGAAAGAAAAAUGGAGGGUUAUGGGGUAGUGUGGGUUUAGUACUUUUUUUUAAGGAUUAUAUGGGUGGGCACCACAUGGAGGGCUGAAGGGCCUGUACUGUGCUGUAGUGUUCUAGGGUUCUAUGGUAUUGGUCCCUGAAUCAAAAAAGUAUUUCUAUGCCUUGAGCAGCGAACUUUUUCUUUUUAGUAAGCCUAUUUCCUCUUGAAGAUUCCCUUUUCAGAUCAAGUCAAGCCACAUCUCCAACAGGAAGCUGAGAAGGAAAUUUCCCCGAUAUCACUGUCCAGUUUCACCCACCUGUCAAGAAUGAAAAUAUGAAAUGUGUUUCUGGUAAAUCAACAGCUGCACAAAGAGAUUCUGUUCAGAUUUAUCCCGUGCACUGUGUGUCAGAAGGAGAUUGUUCAGCCCUCCAGUCUAUUCCCUCUUCAGCUGAUAUGUGUCCGAGCUCCAUUUACCAACCUUGGCUCCACAUAUUUGAAUAAUUGAACUCAAACAAAAUUCUAUUAAUUUUGAAGUUUCAACUGACACUUCCCACCCCUCCCCCCAAGUCUUGACCACUUUCCAGGGAGACUUCCAGAUUUCCACUGACCUGUAUAUCCUGACAGAUAACAGAUUCUUUGUGUUAUUCUUCUGUGCCAUUCUGGAAUGUUUUUAAACUCCCUAAUUACACUGGCCUUCAGUUUUCCACAUUUCAGGGAACAAGAGACCAGACCUAAUAUUUUAUCCCAGUCCCAGUAGCACUUCACUGUGCCUCAUCCACACAACCCCUCUCCAAGGAAGACACACCCUUCCUGAGGGGUGAUGCCAAGAAUCACAGCCAGUGCUCCAGAUGUGGUCUAAUUCGAUCUCUACUCCAUGGCAGUGUAAUAUCCACCCCUCUGUAUCCCUGUUUUCCCCAUUAACUGGAGCACAUUGAGACCCUAAACUUAAAUUCAUCAUCAGGAUUAAUUAGAACCCAAACCUGCCAGUGGUCUCUCAUCCAAAGUAAACCUUCCACAUUCCCUCUUUCCACUGGGAUUGUUUAUUCCCUUAUGGAAUCUGUGUCAGUCAGCCGACACAGCAGAAACAAGACCUCUCUUGAAACAGGAGCUCACCAAACAACAACCUCAGUGACUGUGGGCAGUUUACCUCCUUAUGUUUCUCACCACACCUGAGUAUUUUCAUGUGUACCUGCCUCGACCUACCACUGGCUUGUAUUCAUUACAGGCUGUUUAAAACUUUCUGGAAUUACAGCUGUAAAUUAAUAAUUUCACAGCUGGCUAAUCCGUUCCAGCUCCCACUGCCUCGUUGUCCCAUUCUGGAUUGAGAUAUGGGACAUGCUCCACUCUACUCUCUCUACACCCAUGACUCUGUGGCUGGGCACAGCUCAAAUGCCAUCUUCACAUUUGUCUGUUGUUGGCAGAAUCUCAGAUGGUGAUGAGGAGGUGUACAGAAGUGAGAUAGACUGGCUGGUUGAGUGGUGUCACAAUAAUGACCUUCAUUCAAUGUCAGAAUAAUGAAUUGAUUGUGCCCGUGGGAAGGGAACAUGGUGGGGGUGAUACACACCAGGUAUCAUUGAGGGAUCGGCAGUGGAAGGGGUGAGCAGUUUCAAAUUCCUGGCUGUCAACAUCGCUGAAGAUCUAUCCUGGGUCCAACUCAUUGAUGAAAUAACAAAGAAAGAACAAAGAGAUUAAAUUUCAUCGGGAGUUUGAGGUGAUCUGGUGUGUCACCAAAUACUCUAGUAAAUUUCUACAGGUGUACCAUGGAGAGCAUUCAAUGAGGUUGCAUCACCGUCUGGUACAGACAGGCCACUGCACAGGAUCAGAAAAAGCUGCAGAGAGUUGCAAACUCAGCCAGCUCCAUCACGGGCACCAUCUUCCCCAGCAUUGAGGACAUCAUCAAAAGGCAAUGCCUCAAAAAUCCACAUCCAUCAUUAAAGACCCACAUCAUACAGGACAUGUUCUCUUCUUAUUACUACCUUCAGAGAGGAGGUUCAGGAGCCUGGAGACACACACUCAACAUUUCAGGAAAAGCUUCUUCCCCUCUGCCAUCAGAUUUCCGAACAAUGAAGCAACUUAUGAACACUAGCUCCUACUUUUGCUCUCGAUUUGCGUGAGUUAUAUAAACAUGCAUCUUAUUGUAAUUUAUGAUGUUUAUGUGUUACACUGUACUGCUGCCACAACACAACAAAUUUCACAACAUAUGUCAGUGAUAUUAAACCUGCUUCUGAUACUGAUGGGAGUGAAGGCAGAAACUAGUUGAGUCUGACGAUCUGAUAUACCUGUCCCUGUUUCCACAGGAAAGAGCCCGAAAGUUGAAUCCAGUAUAUUCCAGCAUCAAGGAGACAGUGUUCCUGCUGGGAGAAUUUCAUGGGACUGGGUAAGAGGAGAGUACAGAUUGCUUUUUGUCCAAGUUAAAGCAUAGGUUUUCAUGCCUGCAGUAACCUGGGUGAAACUUCAUGAAACCCCAAUUCUGGUUGCUCCACUGUAAGAAGGAUGUGGAGGCUUUGGAGAGGGUGUAAAGGACGUUCACGAGCAUGUUGCCUGGAUUACAGAAUAUUAGCUGUAAGGAGAGGUUGAGCAAUCUUUGACUGUUUACUCGGGAGCAUCGGCUGAGAGGCAACCUGAUAGAGGCUUAUGAAAGCAUCAGAGUCAUCAGUAGAGUCGACAGUCGAAGUCAUUUUCCAGGGUAAAAUGUCAUUUCCAGAAGGACAGAGAUUUAAGGUGAGGGCUGUAACAUUCAAAGGAGAUUUGUGGGUUGUAUUUUUUACACACAGUGGUAGGUGCCUGUAAUGCACUGGAAGGAGUGGUGGUAAAUCAGCAUGAUAGUACAGUUGAGAUACAUUUGAAAAAGCACAUGACCAUUCAGGAUAUGGAGGGAUAUGGAUUUUGUGCAGAUAGUUUGGUUUAGAUUAAUUUGGUGUUAAGGUUGUCACAGUCACCAUGGGCUGAAGGGCCUGUUCCUGUGCUGUACUGUUCUGUGUUGUAGGUUUACUUGAAGCUCAGUAACUAUUUGUUAUUAAUAGCUGACAGAUGUCUGAAACUCUGCGAUAACAUUAACACUCAGUCCUUUCACUUCCUCUCCGGUUUCACAGGCAGGUUUAAUUUGAGCAGGGGGCCCUCCCAGUGGAGCUGUGUUACUAAAGAGAAUAAACACACUGCUUUACAUAUGGAAAUACAAUUCUAACAUUGUGCUUUGCACCAACCAACAGGUUCACGUUUAUCACACAGAAUGAAAUGAAAUGAAUCAAAAGCAAAAGGGUAAAGACACAGAGACAGCAAGACCCUCUCCUCAUUACAGAGCAUUUGCCACGUGUCAGAAACGGGCUCACUGUAAUGAUGAUUGACUGUUACUGAUUGAUUUAUUGAUUAUAUUAUGGAAAUGAGCAGUGCAAAUGUAUGUACACUUGUAUUUUACGUUCUGAAGCAGUUGGGAGACUGCCACCAACUACUUAAACUGUGUUUGCUCAAACUGAGCACGGAGGUCCAUCUUGGUGAUCAGAUAACUGAACUGUCAGCAAUAAAGUGAAAAAGAAGGAGAAACUAAAAGAUGCCACAGACUGCCUUGUCAACAUUACAGAAUCCCGGUGUGACAUGCUGAUGUUUGUUGAUGACUGUUGAUGAGAACGAUUGUUGCCCGGUGAAUCAAGUUUAGACUGAAAAGUAACACAGACCACAAUCACUAUGGAUCACAGUGGGAGCUGGGGGUUAUCAUUGGUCUGAAAGCUCUCAGGCCCUGAAGAUCAAGGAUAACAAACCUGCAGAUUCAGAGACAUUCAAUAAUCAGUUAUUUAAUUGUCAUUGACAGGUUAGGGUUACCAGUUUUCAGCGGUCAUAAGCAAUGGGUUUUAAUGCCCCUUCUUGACUGCUGAAGAACUUUGAGUUCAGGACCCAACACAAGUUUAAGUUUUAAUUAAUGAAUCUAACAGACAGGCCGGGGAACCCAGCAUUUGGGGCGACAUGGUAGUGUAGUGGUUAGCAGAGUGCUUUACAAUGCAGGCGACCUGGGGUUCAAUUCCUGCCACAGCUUGUAAGGAAAUUGUAAUGUCUCCCCAAGAAUGUGUGGGUUUCCACCGGGUACUCCAGUUUCCUCUCACAGUCCAAAGUCUAAAGUACCUCAGUUUGGUACUUUAACUGGUCACUGUAAAUUGUCCUGUGAUGAGACGAGGAUUAAAUCGGGAUCCCUGGGCAGUGUGGCUCGAAGGGCCAGAAGGGCCUAUUCCAUGCUGUGUGCCAAUAAAUAAAUGAAUUAAAUAAUUUA